rnacentral:tRNA from 1 species
GCCUGGGUGGCUCAGUCGGUUAAGCGUCUGACUUUGGCUCAGGUCAUGAUCUCAUGGUUAAUGGGUUCAAGCCCCAUGUCAGGCU